rnacentral:tRNA from 1 species
AAAAAAUUAGUUAAAUGAAUAACAUUAGUAUGUCAAACUAAAAUUACUAAACCAUUUAGUAUUUUUUG